UACGAAGGGGGCUAGCGUUGUUCGGAAUUACUGGGCGUAAAGCGCACGUAGGCGGAUUGUUAAGUGAGGGGUGAAAUCCCAGGGCUCGACCCUGGAACUGCCUUUCAUACUGGCAAUCUCGAGUUCGAGAGAGGUAAGUGGAAUUCCGAGUGUAGAGGUGAAAUUCGUAGAUAUUCGGAGGAACACCAGUGGCGAAGGCGGCUUACUGGCUCGAUACUGACGCUGAGGUGCGAAAGCGUGGGGGAGCAAACAGG
rnacentral:rRNA from 1 species